rnacentral:tRNA from 1 species
AGUAGCUCAGUGGUAGAGCAUGUGCUUAGCAUGCACGAGGUCCUGGGUUCAGUCCCAGUU